GCCGAGGUAGCUCAGUGGUAGAGCGCUGCCCUGAAAAGGCAGGCGUGGUCAGUUCGAUUCUGACCCUCGGCA
rnacentral:tRNA from 1 species